rnacentral:rRNA from 1 species
UUUAAUUCGAUGAUACGCGAGGAACCUUACCUGGGCUAGAAUGCUGGGAGACCGUGGGUGAAAGCUCAUUUUGUAGCAAUACACUGCCAGUAAGGUGCUGCAUGGCUGUCGUCAGCUCGUGCCGUGAGGUGUUGGGUUAAGUCCCGCAACGAGCGCAACCCCCAUCACUAGUUGCCAUCAGGUAACGCUGGGAACUCUAGUGAAACUGCCGUCGUAAGACGUGAGGAAGGAGGGGAUGAUGUCAAGUCAUCAUGGCCUUUAUGCCCAGGGCUACACACGUGCUACAAUGGGGAGGACAAAGGGCUGCAACACAGCGAUGUGAAGCUAAUCCCAAAAACCUCCUCUCAGUUCAGAUUGGAGUCUGCAACUCGACUCCAUGAAGCUGGAAUCGCUAGUAAUCGUAUAUCAGCAAUGAUA